GACGAACGCUGGCGGCGUGCUUAACACAUGCAAGUCGAACGAUGAAGCAAAGAAUCGCCGCUUCGGCAGAAAUUCAUUUCGGAUUAGUGGCAGACGGGUGAGUAACGCGUGAGCAACCUACCUCUUACAAAGGGAUAGCCUCGGGAAACCGGGAUUAAUACCAUAUAACAUUGCGACGAAGCAUUUCGAUGCAAUCAAAGCUACGGCGGUAAGAGAUGGUCUCGCGUCCCAUUAACCGGAUGGUGAGGUAACGGCUCACCAUAGUGACGAUGGGUAACCGGCCUGAGAGGAUGAUCGGUCACACUGGAACUGAGACACGGUCCAGACUCCUACGGGAGGCAGCAGUGGGGAAUAUUGGACAAUGGGCGCAAGCCUGAUCCAGCCAUACCGCGUGGGUGAAGAAGGCCUUCGGGUUGUAAAGCCCUUUUGUUGGGAAAAAAAAGCAGCAGGUUAAUACCCCGCUGUUCUGACGGUACCCAAAGAAUAAGCACCGGCUAACUUCGUG
rnacentral:rRNA from 1 species